rnacentral:rRNA from 1 species
UUCGGGAACUGUGAGACAGGUGCUGCAUGGCUGUCGUCAGCUCGUGUUGUGAAAUGUUGGGUUAAGUCCCGCAACGAGCGCAACCCUUAUCCUUUGUUGCCAGCGGUCCGGCCGGGAACUCAAAGGAGACUGCCAGUGAUAAACUGGAGGAAGGUGGGGAUGACGUCAAGUCAUCAUGGCCCUUACGACCAGGGCUACACACGUGCUACAAUGGCGCAUACAAAGAGAAGCGACCUCGCGAGAGCAAGCGGACCUCAUAAAGUGCGUCGUAGUCCGGAUUGGAGUCUGCAACUCGACUCCAUGAAGUCGGAAUCGCUAGUAAUCGUGGAUCAGAAUGCCACGGUGAAUACGUUCCCGGGCCUUGUACACACCGCCCGUCACACCAUGGGAGUGGGUUGCAAAAGAAGUAGGUAGCUUAACCUUCGGGAGGGCGCUUACCACUUUGUGAUUCAUGACUGGGGUGAAGUCGUAACAAGGUAACCGUAGGGGAACCUGCGGUUGGAUCACCUCCUUACCUUAAAGAAGC